rnacentral:lncRNA from 1 species
AAACAUACCAGUCAGAUAUUCUAUUUAUGUGUAUUGUAAUAGUGGACUAAUGGACAGCAUCGACAAUGUGGGCCAUAGUAAGGAAGGUAGUAGAGAUAGAAGUACUGGAAAUAACAACAACACAAACAGCAAAAACAGCAACAAUAACACUUUGCUAGAGUUUUAUAAUAACAUAUACAACGAGAUAUUACAUUCUUACUAUUUAAAAAUAUCUUUUUUUGACAUUAACGUAUUAACUAUUCACGCUUUACAAAGCUUAAGUGAUAAAAAAAGCAAUUAUGAUGAAUAUGCUUCUACUAAUAGUAUUAAAGCAUUUAAAAUAUUUUAUACAAAUAUGUUAAAAAAAGGCUUGAACAGUGAAUGUAUAUAUUUUUUUAAUAAAAAUGGGAUUUUUUAUUUAUUAAGAAAAUAUACAUAUAAGUAUUUAAACAUUCUUGAAAAAUAUAAUGAGGAGGUAAAUUGGAGGUCCAAUUCUAAAAUUAACUCAGGUGAAAAACCUAGCGUACUAAUAAAAAAUGAAUAUAAUAAAAUGAUGUACAUAUUUCUACUCCUAAUGAAAGCAAUAACACAGUAUUAUAAUAACACAUAUAUAAAAAAUAAAAAUACAAAUAAUUGGGAAAACGAUUAUCUUAACGAAAAUAGUUAUAAAACUAAAAACACCACUAUUGAGAAUAGCCCUUUAAAAAAAGGUAAUAUGAAAUUGGAGGAAGACAACUUUACUAAAGAUGAUAACAACUUAUAUGAUUUUGUUAAAAAAGCUUUAAAAAAGCUUAUAAACGAUGUAAAAAAGGAUGAAAAUCAGUACAAGUAUAAUAAUAAUGGUGAUAAUGAUAAAUACGAUGUUGACAGCUAUAACAGCAAGCAUAACAGCUAUAACAGCAAACACGACAGCUAUAACAGCAAACACGACAGCUAUAACAACAAACACAACAGCUAUAACAGCAAACACAACAGCUAUAACAGCAAACACAACAGCUAUAACAACAAAAAUAAUAAUAGAAAUAAUAAUAACCCAAACCAGACAAAACGUCCUGUCACAUCAACUUUUUGCAUAACUCAUUAUAAUAAUAAAAAGUUAAAAUACAAAUAUAAUAAAAUGAUUACAGACAACAUAAAAGAUUGUUACGUAUUAACGGAUGUUAUUCAUGUGAUUGGAAAAAGUAAAAUGCCAUUUUUAAAAAAUUUAUUUUUUGAUAAAACUAUCUUAUUGCGAAUUUUUAAACAUGAUUUUUUAUAUGAAGAAAUACAAUUUUUUUUAAAUGUUGUAAAAAGUAGUUAUGAAAAGUUUUAUAUUUUGGUUGUAAAUGAAAAAGAAAGGAAAAGAAAAAAAAAUAGCAUGGAAUGUCCAAAAUAUAUUUUAAAUUAUUUAAAUAAUAAUAACAACGUUUCUGAUUCGCCUGUAGACCUGAUUAUUGAAAAAGUGAAACACAGCAACCAUGACAGCGACAAUGGCAGCAGUGGAAAGAGCGAACAGAGCGGAAAGAGCGGAAAGAGCGGAAAAAACAAGAAAAAAAAAAAAAAAACUGUUAAUGUAUCUAUUCAGCAUUUAUUAUCAUCCUAUAAUUCAACAAAAAAUAAAAAAACUAAUUGGUUAUAUUCCUUUUUUACACCAACCGUACGGCUAUACGAUUACAAUGAGUUAAAAAAGAAAAUAAACAAACAACAUAUUGAACUAGUAUUUGUUUGGCUUAAUUUAAAAAGAAUUUUCAACUACCAAUUACAAUACUUAUAUUAUAGUUUAGCCUGUGAUGAUUUUAUUACAAAUUAUUUAACAUUUUGUCUUCACUAUAGCAAAAACCAGGAGUUAAAAAGUUUGAUAAAUGAUUAUGAAGAAUAUUACAAAAAACAUAAAGAAAAAACAAAAACAAAAACAAAAACAGAAACAGAAACAGAAACAGAAAAACCAAACAGAAGUGACAGUAUGUUUAGUGAUAAUUUAGAAUAUCCCAAUUGUCGACAUUGGAGCAAUUUUAGUAAUCAUAAUAAAGAAAAGCAAAAAGAUAAUAGCAGAACUUUGUUGAAUAACACUGGUAAUGCACAAAAUAAAGGACCCUUUUUUUUUUUAAAUAAGCGCCAACACAGUUUAAACAACAUGAAACAAGAAAUUAUACACAAAAAGAAAAAAAAAAAAAAAAUACCCUAUUUUUUAAAAUAUAUUUCUUUUAAAGAGAAAAUAAAUUUGUGUAAACUUAUUUUACAACAUUUUUGUGUAUCAAAAGAUGUGUUUUAUUUCCAAAAUUAUAUUUUUAUAAAAAAAUAUGUUUAUUUUAUUUUAGAAAUUUUAAAAGGCGAAUUUGUGAAAUUAGUACUGCCAUGUAUUCGAAAAAUUGAAAACUGUUAUAUAUCUUACAGAAAUAAAAAAAUGAAAAUUUUAAUAUAGAAAUAAAAUUAUUAUUAUGCA